AAAUGGACUCUCAGCAACGGAUAUCUUGGCCUCUUGCAACGA
rnacentral:rRNA from 1 species